CCGUAGAUUUUAUCGUUGUUGAUAUAGAUUGCAACCUUUCUUGCACUAUUAUCCUUGGUAGACCUUUCCUUAGAACGAUUGGUGCGAUUAUUGAUAUGAAGGAAGGGAACAUUAGAUUCCAAUUUCCUUUAAAGAAAGGCUCGGAGCACUUUCCAAGAAAGAAAGUCAGAUUACCUUAUGAAUCUAUCAUGCAUGCUACUUAUGAAUUUAGUGCGAAAGAUGACACUUGUUAGAUCUAUCCUUGCUUUUAUGACUAGCUAGAGGUGUUAAACGAUAGCGCUAGUUGGGAGGCAACCCAAUUUUCUUUAUGUUUUUUGUUUUUUAUCCUUUUUAGUAACAAAUCUUGCAUCUACCUUCUGUUUAUAUGUGUUUUUAUUUUUUAAUUAGUGUUUGUGCCAAGUAGAACCUAUAUGAUAACCUACGAUGAUAGUUGAUUUGAUUCUGCUGAAAAACAGAAACUUUGCACGCACGAAUAUAAUUUUGUUAAAUCACAUGAACGUGAUUUUGAGUUUAUUCUUUUUGCUUCUGUUCAAUAGACAAAUUUUCCAGGACUUCCUAUUUUUGUAGGAUUUUUAGAGUUCCAGAAGUUUGCGUUAGUUACAGAUUGCUAUAGACUGUUCUGUUUUUGACAGAUUCUGUUUUUCGUGUGUUGUUUGCUUAUUUCAAUGCAUCUAUGGCUAGUAAUUCAGUCUAUGAACCAUAAAUAAGUUGGAAUACAGUAGGUUUAACACCAAAUUAACUAAAUAAUGAGUUCAUUGCAGUACCUUAUGUGGUGGUUUUGUUUUCUUUCACUAACAGAGAGCUUAUAAGGUUUCCUGUUGAGUUUUGUGUUGUGAAGUUUUCAAGUUUUGGGUAAAGCUUUUAUGGACUAUGGAAUAAAGGGUGGCAAGAUCCUCAGCUUAGGUAUGCCCAUGGCACCCCAAGAUAUCCAAUAAUAGCCAAAAGCCUAAGCUUGGGGAUGCCCCGGGAAGGCAUCUCCUCUUUCGUCUUCGUUCAUUGGUAACUUUACUUGGAGCUAUAUUUUUAUUCGCUACAUGAUAGGUGUUUUUCUUGGAGCGUCGUGUAUUAUAUUAGUCUUUGCUUUUUACUUUACCACAAUCAUCCUUGAUGUACAAACCUUUUCGGAUAAGCCUAUUUGAUUAGAAUUUGCUAGAAUAUUCUAUGUGCUUCACUUAUAUCUUUUGAGCUUGAUAGUUUUUGCUCUAGUGCUUCACUUAUAUCUUUUAGAGCACGGUGGUGUCUUAAUUUUGAAGAAAUUGCUAGUCUCUCAUGCUUCACUUAUAUCUUUUUGAGAGUAUUUUAUAACAGCAUGGUAUUUGCUAUGGUCAUAAAGUUGGUCCUAUAAUGAUGAGCAUCCAAGUUGGGUAUAACAAAAACUAUCAUAGAAAAGUGAAUUGGAUGCUAUGAUCAACUUGAUACUUGAUAAUUGUUUUGAGAUAUGGAGGUAGUGAUAUUAAAGUCAUGCUAGUUGGGUGAUUAUGAAUUCAAAGAAUGCUUGUGUUGAAGUUAGCAAAUCCCGUAGCAUGCACGUAUGGUUAAAGUUGUGUAACAAAUUUGAAACAUGAAGUGUACUUGGCUUGUGCAUCCUUAUGAGUGGCGGUCGGGGACAAGAGAUGGUCUUUUCCUACCAAUCUAUUCCCCUAGGAGCAUGCGCGUAGUACUUGAUUUUUGAUGACUUCUAAAUUUUUGCAAUAAGUAUAUGAGUUCUUUUGACUAAUGUCGAGUCCAUGGAUUAUACGCACUUCUACCUUUCCACCUUUGCUAGCCUCUUCGGUACCGUGCAUUGCCCUUUCUCACCUUGAGAGUUAGUGUAAACUUCGCCGGUGCAUCCAAAACCCGUGAUACGAUACGCUCUAUCACACAUAAAUCGCCUUAUAUCUUCCUCAAAACAGCCACCAUACCAACCUAUUAUGGCAUAUCCAUAGCCAUUCCGAGAUAUAUUGCCAUGCAAUUUUUGCGUGCUAGAAAAGAAAGCUUUAUAAAAGCGUGUGCUUCUAGUCUCCGUGAAAAUAAUGAUGAGGAUCUUAAAGUUAUUGAUGUGUCUCCGAUUAGAUCUAUGUUUUGCAAUAUGAAUUUUGAUGAUUAUGGGAGUGAUGAUGAAUCAACUUUGCCAAGAAGGCGUCCCAAAAAUUCGGAAUCUUUAGAUCUUGAUGUUAAAUUUGGUAAAAGAGAGAUUGGAGAAUCCACAACUUCUAAUAAUAUUGAACCUACUAUCUCGGAUUUCAAGGAUUUUGAUUAUGAUAAUUGCUCUUUAAAAGGUUGUAUUUCCUUGUUGCAAUCCGUUGUUAAUUCUCCUCAUGCUUAUAGUCGAAAUAAAGCUUUUACCAAACAUAUUGUUGAUGCCUUGAUGCUAUCUUAUGAUGAAAAACUUAAUUUGGAAGUUUAUAUACCUAGAAAACUUAAUGAUGAGUGGGAACCCACUAUAAAGAUUAUAAUUAAAGAUUAUGAGUGUUUUGCUUUGUGUGAUUUGGGUGCUAGUGUUUCCACGAUUCCGAAAACUUUAUGUGAUAUUCUAGGUUUCCAUGAUCUUGAUGAUUGAUCUUUAAAUUUGCACCUUGCGGAUUCCACCAUUAAAAAGCCUAUGGGAAGGAUCAAUGAUGUUCUUAUUGUUGCAAAUAGAAAUUUGGUGCCCGUAGAUUUUAUCGCUGUUGAUAUAGAUUGCAAUCUUUCUUACCCUAUUAUCCUUGGUAGACCUUUCCUUAGAAUGAUUGGUGCGAUUAUUGAUAUGAAGGAAGGGAACAUUAGAUUCCAAUUUCCUUUAAAGAAAGGCAUGGAGCACUUUCCAAGAAAGAAAGUCAGAUUACCUUAUGAAUCUAUCAUGCGUGCUACUUAUGAAUUUAGUGCGAAAGAUGACACUUGUUAGAUCUAUCCUUGCUUUUAUGACUAGCUAGGGGCGUUAAACGAUAGCGCUAGUUGGGAGGCAAC
rnacentral:lncRNA from 1 species